GGGCAUAUAGCUCAGUUGGUUAGAGCGCAGUCCUGAUAAGACUGAGGUCCCUGGUUCAACUCCAGGUAUGCCCA
rnacentral:tRNA from 3 species